rnacentral:lncRNA from 1 species
GGUUUCAUCUAUGCCGUGAAUAGGGUUUGAUCCGAGUUUGAGUGAAUAGGUUUUGGUUAGGGUCUGAACCUGAGUCAGGAAUUUGGGUUAGCCUGAUGUGAGUAUAAUCUGGUUCGCCAAGAUUUGAUCAGAUCUGGUUUGGGUUGGGUUGGGGAUCUAUGUUGGGCUGAGUUGAACCUAAUUGGAUCUGUGGGCUGGUUUGGUGUGGGCCGGUUUGAUCUGGACCUGUAAUCUGGUUUGGUUCAAUUGGGCCCAAUCUGUUUGGGCCACAAUUGGCUGUGGGUUUAAAGGAUUCUGAUUUUUGGGGUUUUGGUUUACCUGUUCUUAGGGUCUAUGUCUGAUCUUAGGGGCCCAUUCUUGGAUCCAUGAACUUAGGAAUUUAAGGGAUUGGAAAUAGUUUAAAUUAUGUUUCUUAGUUAAUUAAAUAAUUAAUGUUUGUGUUUUAAUCAGGGGUUCGUGAUAUCUGUGGCAGGGAUUUUUAAGCGAGUCAGGUAGGUGACUUAUUGCUUUAAAGUCGAAUUUUAACAUGUAUCUUGCAUAUGUUGAUGUUAUAAUUUAUUCUUGGCAUUAUGUGUUAGAAUUAGAAUUAAAUAUUUAAUUUUUUAUAAACUGUUAUGUGCCUUACUAUUGGGAGCAUGAUCAUGACUUUGAUUUGGAAAUUCACGAUGUGGAAAAUCUAUUUAUUGAUUUUUAAAGACCGCGUGACUAUAGUCUAGACCCUGCCAAUGGGAUGAUACGUUGGCCCUGUCGACUUGUACUGAGGAACUGGUUCCGACACCGUGACCACCGGUGAUAGAAUAGUGGCGGCACAGGGGUGCGUUUUGCUCUGCGGAGCGGCUCGGUGGAGCGUGAGAUUGGCACCAGGGGGUGCGGCACAGUGGUGCGUUGGCUCAGUGGAGCGGCUCUUCGGA